AUCCUAUUAUAUUUCAUAAGCAUGAUUGGGUUUAUGCACCAUUGUGUGAGAUGUGCCUCCCUCAAAUCUUUUUUUAUAAUAUCAGCACAUGUCCCAUCUGAAG
rnacentral:snoRNA from 1 species